ACGGUUGUAAACAAUAAAAGGAACGAUCUCCAGUUGUUGUUGUUUUUACAAAACGCAUUUGUAUUGUAGUCCUCGUGUAUGCCUCGUCGUGCUAUUUAAAAACGAGUGUGAGGUGAUUUGUUUCAAGUUAUUCUAAGGUGAAACAAAGAACCGCGCCGGUUCAAAAGAAAAGCGUCCAUUGGAAAGAUUUUCUAUAAUAAGAUCGAAGUGAUUCACAUUGACGCUUCUGAAGUGGUUUCACAAGUGUGGCGACGCCGUGGGAGUUUAAUGACGCCCGCGUCUCGGGGCCGGUGUUCACGACCACAAUAAACAACAUACAUAGGCGUUAUGUAUGAAUUACGGGAUGGCAAUCUCUGUUUAUUUCGAAUUCAUGCCGAUUUGUACUGACUUGAUAAAUCGUGUCUCUUGAAGGUUGUAUUACUGACGAUAUUGGUGGUCAGAGAUCCCAACUAAUUAAAACAGAAGCCGUAAGAUGUACUAGAAAGAUUUGUGGAAAAUAUUACAAUUCCUCCGAUUUCCAAUUACUCCAGAAACUAUAUCUCUUCUUUAAUAAUGACCCUUAAAGAUAAUCCGAAGAGGAACCUCCGAACAAUUAAACCAGGUGAAUUAUUUGGCUUCCUUAUAACCCACGGGUGUGUCUUUAUUGUUUCCCCGCUCAAAUGAUAAAUCGCCGUCUCGAGAAACCAUAUUCCAUCGAGUUUUACGGCCUUACUCGAAGUGCACCGUAGGCAAAGAGUGGUUAUUGCUGACUUUCACGGCGAAAAUUAUCGUCGAGCGCAUAAAUUACGGGUUCCGUCACCGCAUGGGAGGGUCACUUCGAGGGCCAGACGCGCGUGUUUCAGUCUUGCAACUUCGAAAGCCGGUUAAUGGCCGAUAAUUAAGUCCGCUACUGUUGCCGUAAUGGGUUAAUCGAUGUCCGUUUGCCAUCGGACUUUGGAAACGUUAAUCCUUCUAAAGUUGUAACAACAAUGGAAAAUGCGGCGAGGUUACAACCUUUAAGCCGAUUAAAAUGCUUGUUUGUACCUUACAUGGCGGAAGUGUAAACGAAAAUUGAUACAUCUUCUUGGAUUACAAAGGAAAUUAAUGAAAGAAUCACGACAAAAGUUGUUUAUGUAGAAAUCGAUUAUUCAUCAAGUCUUUUAAUGUGAUACAAAUGUAAUCAAUAUAGCUACAAUUUAUUUGGGAGCAACUUGAUGAUUUUGUUAUGGAUUAUUAAAAAUUAAUUGGAAGAGUCAUAAAUUUUUAAAAUGUAAGCGCACAAAAUUUAGUUACUUUAUAAAAAAUCCUGAACUUAAUGAACUAAACCGUUAUAAACACUUAAA